rnacentral:rRNA from 1 species
AGCGAACGCUGGCGGCAGGCCUAACACAUGCAAGUCGAACGAACCUUUCGGGGUUAGUGGCGGACGGGUGAGUAACACGUGGGAACGUGCCUUUAGGUUCGGAAUAACUCAGGGAAACUUGUGCUAAUACCGAAUGUGCCCUUCGGGGGAAAGAUUUAUCGCCUUUAGAGCGGCCCGCGUCUGAUUAGCUAGUUGGUUGAGGUAAUGGCUCACCAAGGCGACGAUCAGUAGCUGGUCUGAGAGGAUGAUCAGCCACAUUGGGACUGAGACACGGCCCAAACUCCUACGGGAGGCAGCAGUGGGGAAUCUUGCGCAAUGGGCGAAAGCCUGACGCAGCCAUGCCGCGUGAAUGAUGAAGGUCUUAGGAUUGUAAAAUUCUUUAACUGGGGACGAUAAUGACGGUACCCGGAGAAGAAGCCCCGGCUAACUUCGUG